CCUACGGGAGGCAGCAGUGGGGAAUAUUGCACAAUGGGGGAAACCCUGAUGCAGCGGCGCCGCGUGAGUGAAGAAGUAUUUCAGUAUGUAAAGCUCUAUCAGCAGGGAAGAUAAUGACGGUACCUGACUAAGAAGCCCCGGCUAACUACGUGCCAGCAGCCGCGGUAAU
rnacentral:rRNA from 1 species